GGAAGUAAAAGUCGCAACAAGGUAACCGUAGGUGAACCUGCGGUUGGAUCAUUACUGAUUGUUGGAUUCUUACGGUCGAUCAUUUAUUGAUCCCGUUUGAAGCCAAUUCAACCCCUUGUGCACCAAAUCGUAUUUUGGGUAUUUAAUUUUUAUUAAUUAGUGCCCAGCUUAUUUAAACUAUAUAAUUUUUUUUGUCUUAAAUCUAGUAAAAUAGAAACAACUUUUAACAACGGAUCUCUUGGCUCUC
rnacentral:misc_RNA from 1 species